rnacentral:lncRNA from 1 species
UUUUCUUCGCUCUUAAAUAUUGAUGCUUUAAAAUAGAACAUAUUAUUUCCCUACUAUCACUUCUGUAAUUUUUAUUUUGUAAUUUUUUUCCCUACUGUCACUCCUGUGACUUUCCAUCUCCAUGCAACAAAAUUUUUUUUCUUUAUAUUUUCUUGAAAACCAACAUCUAUAUAUUUUUAAAUCUUAAAAGUGACAGUAGGAACAUAAUAUAUGUAUGCUUACUCUAAUUUGUGUCAAAUAUGAAAGUUUAGUUGGUCUCAUUUAUAUGCUUAAAUAUUAAUGUUAUUUGUAAUUUUUAUAUCAAUUUUAGUUAUCAUUUUAUUUCGCACAUCAAUAUGUAAAUGUAAAUUAUUUUGCAUACCAAUUCAUAGAUAAUAGAGUAGCAUUGAAUUUUGCAUUUUAGUUGAAUAUUUACUUUGGUCCAAAUUUUUUUUUCCUUAGCUUGUGUACUUUAAUAUGUACUAUAAUUAAGAUUGAUAGUAUAUUUUUUAUUUGUUAAAAAAUAUAAAAUUAAUUAGAAAAUCUUUUUGUUAUCAUCACAUAAUAAUUUUUAUUAUUCUAUAUUAUUAUAUUAGCCGUGCAUCGCACGGGUGAAAAUCUAGUUGAGAUUAAUAUCUUUCUUAUGGUCUAUAAAUAUAUGAGGGAUUGGCUACAAAUUAUACACAAGAGAAAAUUAGAAGAACCUCUCCACAAAAAUUCUCUCUUCGGUUCACUCUUGGGCACUAUCAGAAACCCUUAGGAAUUUGGACGAUGUGCUGUG